rnacentral:rRNA from 1 species
AGUCCACAUCGACGGGGAGGUUUGGCACCUCGAUGUCGGCUCGUCGCAUCCUGGGGCUGUAGUCGGUCCCAAGGGUUGGGCUGUUCGCCCAUUAAAGCGGCACGCGAGCUGGGUUCAGAACGUCGUGGGACAGUUCGGUCCCUAUCCGUCGCGGGCGCAGGAAAUUUGAGAGGAGCUGUCCUUAGUACGAGAGGACCGGGAUGGACACACCGCUGGUGUACCAGUUGUUCCGCCAGGAGCAUCGCUGGGUAGC